rnacentral:rRNA from 1 species
AAUCCAGAGAUGGAUUUGUGCCUUCGGGAACUGUGAGACAGGUGCUGCAUGGCUGUCGUCAGCUCGUGUUGUGAAAUGUUGGGUUAAGUCCCGCAACGAGCGCAACCCUUAUCCUUUGUUGCCAGCGAUUAGGUCGGGAACUCAAAGGAGACUGCCAGUGAUAAACUGGAGGAAGGUGGGGAUGACGUCAAGUCAUCAUGGCCCUUACGACCAGGGCUACACACGUGCUACAAUGGCGCAUACAAAGAGAAGCGACCUCGCGAGAGCAAGCGGACCUCAUAAAGUGCGUCGUAGUCCGGAUUGGAGUCUGCAACUCGACUCCAUGAAGUCGGAAUCGCUAGUAAUCGUGGAUCAGAAUGCCACGGUGAAUACGUU